rnacentral:rRNA from 1 species
AACGAGCGCAACCCUCGCCCUUAGUUGCCAGCAUUUAGUUGGGCACUCUAAGGGGACGUGCCGGUGAUAAGCCGAGAGGAAGGUGGGGAUGACGUCAAGUCCUCAUGGCCCUUACGGGCUGGGCUACACACGUGCUACAAUGGUGGUGACAGUGGGCAGCGAGCACGCGAGUGUGAGCUAAUCUCCAAAAGCCAUCUCAGUUCGGAUUGCACUCUGCAACUCGAGUGCAUGAAGUUGGAAUCGCUAGUAAUCGCGGAUCAGCAUGCCGCGGUGAAUACGUUCCCGGGCCUU